GCCUGGGUGGCUCAGUCGGUUGAGCGUCCGACUUCAGCUCAGGUCAUGAUCUCAUGGUUUGUGGGUUCGAGCCCCACAUCGGGCU
rnacentral:tRNA from 1 species